GCCCCGCCAUCCCAGUGUUCAGACUAGUGUUCAGGAGGCUCUGAAUGUGUACAGUAGUCUGCACAUUGGUUAGGCUGGGCU
rnacentral:pre_miRNA from 1 species